rnacentral:rRNA from 1 species
AUACGGAGGAUGCGAGCGUUAUCCGGAUUUAUUGGGUUUAAAGGGUGCGUAGGCUGUGCGUUAAGUCAGGGGUGAAAUGCCGUCGCUCAACGACGGAGCUGCCCUUGAUACUGGCGUGCUGGAGUACGGAUGCCGUUGGAGGAAUGAGUGGUGUAGCGGUGAAAUGCUUAGAUAUCAGUCAGAACACCGAUUGCGAAGGCAGCUGACGAACACGUCACUGACGCUGAGGCACGAAAGCGUGGGGAUAGAACAGGAUUAGAUACCCUGGUAUUCCACGCCGUAAACGAUGAUGACUAACCGUCGGCGAUAGACAGCCGGUGGCCAAGCGAAAGCGAUAAGUCAUCCACCUGGGGAGUACGUCGGCAACGAUGAAACUCAAAUGAAUUGACGGGG